UCAGGGGGCUUGCGGGGAACACUUCAACUGGCUGUGGAGAAUUCUUUUCCUGCUUUGUUGAUUGUUUUUGUAUCAAACUGGGAUCUUUCUCUAACCAUCAUGACACUGAUACCAAUUAUCAAGCCCAAUGGAUGGAUGGAGACGAAAUUUAUCUGGGGAUUUUGUGCAGAUGCAAAGGUCAUAGCAGAGCAUCUUUCAGUAAAAGAGGCCACGUGGAGUUAAUAACCUUGAUAUAAGGUGGAUGCACAUGGAGUCAAGCGUGAGAAGGAAUACUAUUAUACUGAAUUCUUGAUCUGUGCUAUAUUUUCUGGUAGUUGUUGUGCUUUCAAUAAGCAUGUAUGACCAGUUGCAUCCUUAUAUGGUUUCAGUGAGAGAAAUAUACUGAAGGUCUCAA